UUUUUUUUUUUUUUUUUGCCAUGGUUCAAGGAGUGAUCAUGUUUUACAGGAACUAAUUCACACUAACUGUUUCUAAUGACAAUCAUUUAUUAUUAUCUUUCACAGUUCUGGAAAUUAACUGGGAUCAGCUAUGUGGUUCCUGCUCAGAAUCCCUACCUGGUUGCAAUUAGAUGGUGCUGGGACUGAGGUCAUCUCAAAGCCUUUCCUACUCACAUAUCUAGUGAUUGAUGCUGGGUGCUGGGUGGGUUAUCAGAAGAAGCAUCUCCCCAUGGCUUCUGUGUGGCUUGAGCUUCCUCACAGCAUGAUGGCUGGGUUUCAAGAAUGAGCAUUGCAAGACUUGGAGCCAUGUAGAAGUUCUAUAGCUUUUCCUAACCUAGCCUCGACAUCACAAGGCAUUAUUUAUGCCACAUUCUACUCAUUAGAAGCCAGACCAUAUUCAAAGGGAAGGGAAAUUAGUCUCUACCUUUUGAUGGGAUGAGCAUCAAGGAACUGGACAUGUUCUAAGACCAUGAUACCAAUCAAAUUAAUAGAAAAUUGAUGUAUGGAUCAGGUAAUUCUUUAACAAUUAACAAUAAUAAAUACGAUUGUAAAAUGGAUCAGGACAUUCAUAUCAGCUCAUCAAUGCAUUCUUUCUCCUGGUAGGCAUUAUAGUAUGAUGACUAAGUUGUAGUUCUGAAUUUAUGCCAAGCAAGAUUAAAAUGCUAUCCACCUAUUAACUUUGUGACACUAGGUAAGUUCCUUGACCUCUCUAAGCAGCUUUCUUCUUUGGAGAGUGGAUGAAGAGUGCUGGCACACGGGGAGCACUCAAUAUAUGGUGAUGACCAUUGUAAGCCCCUACUUCUCCCUCAAGUCAAGUCCUUUGUUACAGAUGCUCCAACCAGACAUAAGGCAUGCUCAUUUCCAAAGAGGAGGCAAGGAUGGAGGGCGCCUUGUCCUCACCUGGUUCACCUGUGGGACUUGACUUCCACUCUCCUCAUCGUGCUGACAGUUCCCAAGUGAGCCCCUCUAAAGGCUGGAUUCCAGGCUGCUGGGGUGUGUGAGCAUGGCAACAUCCUCAUCACAGCGGGCACGUGGCCAGGGACUCAGAUCUGCCAGUGUGGGCGCCAACACUCUCUCCCCAGAAAAGCUGCUUGAAGGCAUAGACUAGAGGAAGGGAAGAUUAAAAAUAAAGAGUGGUCAUGUUCAGUUUUGAAAUUAAAAGAGAGGCAUGGACUCAAAGGCCCUUCAAUUCUCUUGGCUUUGGGAGAGAGAGGGUGCUGAGUAGGGGGUCAUGGUGGGGGGACACCAUGGGGCUUCCUUUCCCCAGAACCCUAAUUCAUGGGAACACCCAGAAUUGGGCAACUGCAUCUCAUGGCUCACAGUUGUGGUCUCGCCUGAAACACAAAUGGUUCACUUGCUUUGCAGGGUUUGUGAACUAGCAGUCUUAGUGUUUAUUUGUUUGUCCCUUACAAAGAUUUUAAAUUCUAAAUUGUAAAUGUAUUUCAAUUGAGCAUUGGCUUUCCAGUUAGCUCCAGAAUUCCGUAUUAUCUGUGUCCAGCCUGCUGUCAUCAUCUACAUCAUGUACUUUCUUGGCUUCAAUGAUAGACAUUCAGUUUGGUUGCAUCCUACUUGCUUUGUGCUUUUUUUGCUCUUACAAUGUCUCAAACUUACAUGUAUGGAGCACCCAGUGUAUUAUCAGCUAUAACCUCAAUUACUACCCUAGAAACCCUACAGGGGAGGGAUCCUCACUCCAUAGAGA
ensembl:lncRNA